GCCACUGCUAUUCGCACGUGGACUGCGUUGGCAUGCGAACUUGCAGGACUGAUGCCCUCUACCAGGCAGCCCUAGCAGCGGCUCCCCCUACGGCAGUGGCAUCGUGGCGGGACCGAGCGGGCGGCGCGUGGAGAGAGGGUCGGACUAUUCCCCGGGCGGCAGCGGCGGCGGCGGCAGCAACGGGACGAGCAUGCAGGCGUGGAAGGAACCGCAACUAGAUACCUGGUUGGCUCCAGAGAUUUCCUACGAGGUGAUGAGGAGCAAAGAGCUAACCA